UAUCACAGUCCAAGCUUUGGU
rnacentral:miRNA from 2 species